rnacentral:rRNA from 1 species
UACGUAGGGUGCAAGCGUUAAUCGGAAUUACUGGGCGUAAAGGGUCUGUAGGUGGCCAACUAAGUCAGACGUGAAAUCCCUCAGCUUAACUGGGGAACUGCGUCUGAUACUGGAUGGCUUGAGUGUGGGAGAGGAAUGCGGAAUUCCAGGUGUAGCGGUGAAAUGCGUAGAUAUCUGGAGGAACACCGGUGGCGAAGGCGGCAUUCUGGACCAUAACUGACACUGAGAGACGAAAGCCAGGGGAGCAAACGGG